rnacentral:rRNA from 1 species
AUACGGAGGGUGCAAGCGUUAUUCGGAAUCACUGGGCGUAAAGGACGCGUAGGCGGGUUGGCAAGUCAGAUGUGAAAUCCUACAGCUUAACUGUAGAACUGCAUUUGAAACUGCUAACCUAGAGUAUGGGAGGGGGAGAUGGAAUUAGUGGUGUAGGGGUAAAAUCCGUAGAUAUCACUAGGAAUACCGAAAGCGCAGGCGAUCUCCUGGAACAUAACUGACGCUAAGGCGUGAAAGCGUGGGGAGCAAACAGGAUUAGAUACCCUAGUAGUCC